AGUCAUCGUACAUCAUGACCACAAUCUGCUCAUCCGGGAUGCCAUUCCUGUGGACAAUCUGGUAGGCAUGGCAGGCGUCGGCCUGCGCGAGGAAAACACAGGUUGAGACAGUGAACUCUCAUCGAUUUUGCUGCUGCUACACCUGAGUCCCCCCCUGUGCCUUGGGUUGUAAGAGACCAGGGAAAGUGUCUGCCUCGCAAGCAGAGAAGCAUCUUGUGGUCUUCAAGAAGACAGGAACCAACAUGCAAGAACAUCUUGAUGCCAUCGCGAUGAGAACACAGCCCUAUCUCCCAGCUGUAAGACGGAGGAAGAAAGUAGCCCACCAGUUCUUCACCAUCCUUGAUAAAAAAAAAUGCCAUUGCUUUCGGGUCAACCUCCUCUCUUGGUGCUUUUGACGAACUGUUUGAGGCACAUUACGUGUUUGCCACAACAUAUCGAGCACUGUGUACAAUAUAGACGUAGAAAAAGUGUAAGAAGGUCCUCGUGCGCAGAAAUUCGGGCUAGGUUGCUUCAGUAGUACUUGGAACAAAUCUGUUUGGCUUAAUGUGUUUUAUUUGUUGGACAGAGUUAAGUUGCACAAAUGCACUUGUUUGGUCUAUACGAGUAGUUAAUUAAUAUUUACUUGGAUGGAAAAACUCUUUGCCUUAAAUGUAAUCUGUCAACUUUGAGCCGUCAACAAUGGAUUGUACACCAUGUUACUGUGACACAACCAAAGGUCAACAGUCUACCUUAAAAAUGUGCUUUAAUUCC